ACUGAAAUAGUUCAUUUGGGAAAGCAUUAGACUGAAAAUCAAAAGGUCCCUGGUUCAAUCCUGGUUUUUGGCA